GACGAACGCUGGCGGCGUGCCUAAUACAUGCAAGUUGAGCGCUGAAGGUUGGUACUUGUACCAACUGGAUGAGCAGCGAACGGGUGAGUAACGCGUGGGGAAUCUGCCUUUGAGCGGGGGACAACAUUUGGAAACGAAUGCUAAUACCGCAUAAAAACUUUAAACACAAGUUUUAAGUUUGAAAGAUGCAAUUGCAUCACUCAAAGAUGAUCCCGCGUUGUAUUAGCUAGUUGGUGAGGUAAAGGCUCACCAAGGCGAUGAUACAUAGCCGACCUGAGAGGGUGAUCGGCCACAUUGGGACUGAGACACGGCCCAAACUCCUACGGGAGGCGGCAGUAGGGAAUCUUCGGCAAUGGACGAAAGUCUGACCGAGCAACGCCGCGGGAGUGAAGAAGGUUUUCGGAUCGUAAAACUCUGUUGGUAGAGAAGAACGUUGGUGAGAGUGGAAAGCUCAUCAAGUGACGGUAACUACCCAGAAAGGGACGGCUAACUACGUG
rnacentral:rRNA from 1 species